UUAAGCGACUAAGCGUACACGGUGGAUGCCCUGGCAGUCAGAGGCGAUGAAGGACGUGCUAAUCUGCGAAAAGCGCCGGCGAGGUGAUAUGAACCUUUGACCCGGCGAUGUCCGAAUGGGGAAACCCAGUGCAAUCCGUUGCACUAUCGUUAACUGAAUACAUAGGUUAACGAGGCGAACCGGGGGAACUGAAACAUCUAAGUACCCCGAGGAAAAGAAAUCAACCGAGAUUCCCCCAGUAGCGGCGAGCGAACGGGGAGCAGCCCGGAGUCUGAAUCAGCUUGUGUGUUAGUGGAACGGUCUGGAAAGUCCGACGGUACAGGGUGAUAGUCCCGUACACGAAAGCACACAUGCUGUGAACUCGAAGAGUAGGGCGGGACACGUGGUAUCCUGUCUGAAUAUGGGGGGACCAUCCUCCAAGGCUAAAUACUCCUGACUGACCGAUAGUGAACCAGUACCGUGAGGGAAAGGCGAAAAGAACCCCGGCGAGGGGAGUGAAAAAGAACCUGAAACCGUGUACGUACAAGCAGUGGGAGCCUCUUUAUGGGGUGACUGCGUACCUUUUGUAUAAUGGGUCAGCGACUUAUAUUCUGUAGCAAGGUUAACCGUAUAGGGGAGCCGAAGGGAAACCGAGUCUUAACUGGGCGUUAAGUUGCAGGGUAUAGACCCGAAACCCGGUGAUCUAGCCAUGGGCAGGUUGAAGGUUGGGUAACACUAACUGGAGGACCGAACCGACUAAUGUUGAAAAAUUAGCGGAUGACCUGUGGCUGGGGGUGAAAGGCCAAUCAAACCGGGAGAUAGCUGGUUCUCCCCGAAAGCUAUUUAGGUAGCGCCUCGUGAACUCAUCUUCGGGGGUAGAGCACUGUUUCGGCUAGGGGGCCAUCCCGGCUUACCAACCCGAUGCAAACUACGAAUACCGAAGAAUGUUAUCACGGGAGACACACGGCGGGUGCUAACGUCCGUCGUGAAGAGGGAAACAACCCAGACCGCCAGCUAAGGUCCCAAAGUCAUGGUUAAGUGGGAAACGAUGUGGGAAGGCACAGACAGCCAGGAUGUUGGCUUAGAAGCAGCCAUCAUUUAAAGAAAGCGUAAUAGCUCACUGGUCGAGUCGGCCUGCGCGGAAGAUGUAACGGGGCUAAACCAUGCACCGAAGCUGCGGCAGCGACGCUUAUGCGUUGUUGGGUAGGGGAGCGUUCUGUAAGCCGUUGAAGGUGUCCUGUGAGGGGUGCUGGAGGUAUCAGAAGUGCGAAUGCUGACAUAAGUAACGAUAAAGCGGGUGAAAAGCCCGCUCGCCGGAAGACCAAGGGUUCCUGUCCAACGUUAAUCGGGGCAGGGUGAGUCGACCCCUAAGGCGAGGCCGAAAGGCGUAGUCGAUGGGAAACAGGUUAAUAUUCCUGUACUUGGUGUUACUGCGAAGGGGGGACGGAGAAGGCUAUGUCAGCCGGGCGACGGUUGUCCCGGUUUAAGCAUGUAGGCGGAGGUUCCAGGUAAAUCCGGUACCUUAUUAACGCUGAGGUGUGAUGACGAGGCACUACGGUGCUGAAGUGAUAAAUGCCCUGCUUCCAGGAAAAGCCUCUAAGCAUCAGGUAACACGAAAUCGUACCCCAAACCGACACAGGUGGUCAGGUAGAGAAUACCAAGGCGCUUGAGAGAACUCGGGUGAAGGAACUAGGCAAAAUGGUGCCGUAACUUCGGGAGAAGGCACGCUGAUAUGUAGGUGAAGUCCCUGCGGACGGAGCUGAAAUCAGUCGAAGAUACCAGCUGGCUGCAACUGUUUAUUAAAAACACAGCACUGUGCAAACACGAAAGUGGACGUAUACGGUGUGACGCCUGCCCGGUGCCGGAAGGUUAAUUGAUGGGGUUAGCGGCAACGCGAAGCUCUUGAUCGAAGCCCCGGUAAACGGCGGCCGUAACUAUAACGGUCCUAAGGUAGCGAAAUUCCUUGUCGGGUAAGUUCCGACCUGCACGAAUGGCGUAAUGAUGGCCAGGCUGUCUCCACCCGAGACUCAGUGAAAUUGAACUCGCUGUGAAGAUGCAGUGUACCCGCGGCAAGACGGAAAGACCCCGUGAACCUUUACUAUAGCUUGACACUGAACACUGGUCCUUGAUGUGUAGGAUAGGUGGGAGGCUUUGAAGCGUGGACGCCAGUCUGCGUGGAGCCAACCUUGAAAUACCACCCUUUAAUGGCUGGUGUUCUAACGUAGACCCGUAAUCCGGGUUGCGGACAGUGUCUGGUGGGUAGUUUGACUGGGGCGGUCUCCUCCCAAAGAGUAACGGAGGAGCACGAAGGUUGGCUAAUCCUGGUCGGACAUCAGGAGGUUAGUGCAAUGGCAUAAGCCAGCUUGACUGCGAGCGUGACGGCGCGAGCAGGUGCGAAAGCAGGUCAUAGUGAUCCGGUGGUUCUGAAUGGAAGGGCCAUCGCUCAACGGAUAAAAGGUACUCCGGGGAUAACAGGCUGAUACCGCCCAAGAGUUCAUAUCGACGGCGGUGUUUGGCACCUCGAUGUCGGCUCAUCACAUCCUGGGGCUGAAGUAGGUCCCAAGGGUAUGGCUGUUCGCCAUUUAAAGUGGUACGCGAGCUGGGUUUAGAACGUCGUGAGACAGUUCGGUCCCUAUCUGCCGUGGGCGCUGGAGAAUUGAGGGGGGCUGCUCCUAGUACGAGAGGACCGGAGUGGACGCAUCACUGGUGUUCGGGUUGUCAUGCCAAUGGCACUGCCCGGUAGCUAAAUGCGGAA
rnacentral:rRNA from 1 species